rnacentral:lncRNA from 1 species
GGUGAACUAUGCCUGAGGCAGUGAAAUCAGUAAUUAUAGUUAUGGAACUCGAAGAUGACCAAGAGUGGUUUCAAGAGCCAGAAGAGCCCGAGGAAAUGCUGCUGUUUGAUGACAUAGAUCUUCAACCAGAGGACCUACUGAGUGGGUUGGAGGAUAUUCUUUUGGGUCAGGACAUGGAAGAUGAGGAAGCACCUGAGGGUGAAGAGCCUCACAUGGAAGCUGAUCUUCAGGAUCUCCAGGAACUUUCCCAGGACCAACCUGCAGAUGAAGAAAAUGAACAUCCUGAAAUCAAUGGGGCAUCAUAGACUAUCAGGAGCCCUAAAAUGCCAGAAGCAGGUUGAAGCAUGGCCAGAGGUUUAAAUGAAGACAACCAAAAGUCCUGCCAUUUGUUCUCCGAUUGGAUGGAUGUUGAAACUCAGUUUCUCAAUAAAGUUUUUCCUGUAGAGAAAUCUUGGUCA